AUACGUAGGGGGCAAGCGUUGUCCGGAAUUACUGGGCGUAAAGAGCUCGUAGGCGGCUCAGCAAGUCGGUCGUGAAAGCCCGAGGCUCAACCUCGGAACUGCGGUCGAUACUGCUGUGGCUAGAGUCCGGUAGGGGAGAGUGGAAUUCCCGGUGUAGCGGUGGAAUGCGCAGAUAUCGGGAGGAACACCAGUGGCGAAGGCGGCUCUCUGGGCCGGUACUGACGCUGAGGAGCGAAAGCGUGGGGAGCAAACAGGAUUAGAAACCCCAGUAGUCC
rnacentral:rRNA from 1 species